AUGAAAAAAGAGCGAGCGAGCCAGGGAACGCUCUGCACAAGCGAGGGCGGGAGGCGGCCACAACGGGUCCCCAGCGCCAAGAAAGGGGCACAAGGAGGCGGUGCGGGCCCCGCCCCCUCCCCUGGCGGGCGCGGGCGCGAGACGCUGCGCGGCGGCAGCAGCGGGCGCGAGCGGCAGCUGUCAGGCCACCGAGGUCCAAGCAGCACUUGCUGCCCCAUUGAGGACGAGGCGGCAGCAGAAGCGGUGACGGUGUCGCUGAGGAGCCUGACUCCCGGCACGCAGCCCCGACCUGCCUGGCACCCCGCGGCCCUCUUCUGUCUCCUUCCCAUUGUGUUGAGUAAGAACCUUAAACAGAAAGAAUAAAACGAUAGGAAAAAAGAAAUAUUGUGACAAAAAUCCAACUAGGUUCUCUUGGUUACAAACUCCUCCCCGUCUGGUGCCAUAACAAUGAGUGGGAAAUCCCUGCUCUUAAAG
rnacentral:lncRNA from 1 species